CAGUCGCCACGGGAAUACGGAGGGUGCAAGCGUUAAUCGGAAUUACUGGGCGUAAAGCGCACGCAGGCGGUCUGUCAAGUCAGAUGUGAAAUCCCCGGGCUUAACCUGGGAACUGCAUUUGAAACUGGCAGGCUAGAGUCUUGUAGAGGGGGGUAGAAUUCCAGGUGUAGCGGUGAAAUGCGUAGAUAUGCGGAGGAACACCGAUGGCGAAGGCAGCCCCCUGGGCCAAUACUGACGCUCAUGCACGAAAGCGUGGGGAGCAAACAGGAUUAGAUACCCCUGUAGUCCCUGUCUCUUAUAA
rnacentral:rRNA from 1 species